rnacentral:rRNA from 1 species
GACGAACGCUGGCGGCGCGCUUAACACAUGCAAGUCGAGCGAUGAAACUUUAACAGAACCCUUCGGGGCGUAGAUAAAGUGGAUUAGCGGCGGACGGGUUAGUAACACGUUAGUAACCUGCCGUAGACAUUGGGAUAGCCUCGGGAAACCGGGAUUAAUACCACAUAAAAUCAUAAUGACACAUGUCAUAACGAUCAAAACUCCGGUGGUCUAAGAUGGACUCGCGUCCCAUUAGCUAGUUGGUAGAGUAAAAGCCUACCAAGGCGACGAUGGGUAGCCGGGAUGAGAGACUGAACGGCGACAUUGGAACUGGGAAGCGGUCCAAACUCCUACGGGAGGGAGCAGUGGGGAAUAUUGCACAAUGGAGGGAACUAUGAUGCAGCGCCGCUGCGUGAACGAAGAAGGCUUUAGAGUAGUAAAGUUCUUUUAUAUGGGAAGAUAAUGACGGUACCAUAAGAAAAAGCCCCGGCUAACUACGUG